rnacentral:lncRNA from 1 species
GCCCUUGUGCCCUUCACCCUAGGAAGAGAGAAAAAUGAAGAAAAGAAAAAGUGUCUCAAGUUCUCAUCUAUUUGUGACAACACAAAUCCAAUAUGCCAUAAACAUGUUGAAAUGUUCUGGCCUUUACAGUUUUACCAGCCUGAGACAUCAAAACAUGAAGACAAAAUCAAUCAAGGUCAUACACUAACUUUGUGAAAAGUUCAGCCUUUACUUACUGGCUUGCUUCAAAGUGGCCUGGAAUUUAUGUAGUUUGAAAGCCAGUCUUCUGUGGUACCUUUACUUGACCUCUGUGUUACUUUUCCUGAGAUUUUUCAAACACUUCAACAUGUUUGAGUUUUAC